rnacentral:lncRNA from 1 species
AAUUGCAGUUAAAAACAUGUGGAGCUUGGUAGCAUUUUUGAGAGAAAGAAACUGCAAUGCUUAAAUAGAGCCAUUUACAGAUGUCUUUUCAGACAGAACAACAGGAAAAUCAGCUUAGCUAAGAAGUGUGGGUCAUGGCCGAUGUUUGGAGCUAAUGAGUGACUGAAACAGUGCCUGUCACCAAGGCAGUCUUGUGUCCUUCCUGACCUCGGGUGCCUUCAGAGGGCUGUGUUGGAAUAGAGAUGCCAAGUGUGGCCAGAGUGCACCGCAGGAGCCAAUGGCUGCAAUGGUUGGAGGCUUCCGCUUCACCCCUCAUCUAUGCCGAAGUCUGGGGCUCCUACUGGAGAGCUGGAACCUGGAGGUUUUCUUUAAUGGGCACUGUAUUGAGAAGCAUUUGGAGUGGGCUGGGGCAAGGCUCAUUGUGCUUGAUGCUCUGGAUUCUAGCCCCACGGCCGCCACCCAACAAACCAUUGAAGUCUGGAAUUAAAAAUAAGGUUCGGAUCUUGCUGAAAACAA